rnacentral:rRNA from 1 species
UGAGGAAUAUUGCUCAAUGGGCGCAAGCCUGAAGCAGCGACGCCGCGUGGACGAUGAAGGUCUUCGGAUCGUAAAGUCCUUUUCUGUGUGACGAGGAAGGACGGUAGCACAGGAAUAAGUGUCGGCUAACUACGUGCCAGCAGCCGCGGUAACACGUAGGACGCAAGCGUUAUCCGGAAUUACUGGGCGUAAAGAGCGUGUAGGCGGUGCUGUAAGUCAACCGUGAAAGCUCCCGGCUAAACUGGGAGAGGUCGGAUGAGACUGCAGCGCUAGUGGGUCGUAGAGGAGUGUGGAAUUCCGGGUGUAGUGGUGAAAUGCGUAGAGAUCCGGAGGAACACCAGAGGCGAAGGCGGCACUCUGGACGACACCAGACGCUGAGACGCGACAGCACGGGGAGCGAACGGGAUUAGAAACCCCGGUAGUCCGUGCCGUGAAACGAUGUGUACUAGAUGUUCGAUUGACUACGGUUGAUUGAGCGUCGCAGCAAACGCGCUAAGUACACCGCCU